ACAGGGAUUGCCCCAGUAACGGCGAGUGAAGCGGCAACAGCUCAAAUUUGAAAUCUGGCCCCUCGGGGUCCGAGUUGUAAUUUGUAGAGGAUGCUUUUGGUGAGGUGCCGCCCGAGUUCCCUGGAACGGGACGCCACAGAGGGUGAGAGCCCCGUCUGGCUGGCCACCGAGCCUCUGUAAAGCUCCUUCGACGAGUCGAGUAGUUUGGGAAUGCUGCUCAAAAUGGGAGGUAUAUGUCUUCUAAAGCUAAAUAUUGGCCAGAGACCGAUAGCGCACAAGUAGAGUGAUCGAAAGAUGAAAAGCACCUUGAAAAGAGGGUUAAAUAGUACGUGAAAUUGUUGAAAGGGAAGCGCUUGUGACCAGACUUGGGCGCGGCGGAUCAUCCGGGGUUCUCUCCGGUGCACUUCGCCGCGUCUAGGCCAGCAUCAGUUCGUCGCGGGGGAAAAAGGUUUCGGGAACGUGGCUCCUCCGGGAGUGUUAUAGCCCGUUGCAUAAUACCCUGCGGUGGACUGAGGACCGCGCAUCUGCAAGGAUGCUGGCGUAAUGGUCACCAGCGACCCGUCUUGAAACACGGACCAAGGAGUCGUCUUCGUAUGCGAGUGUUCGGGUGUCAAACCCCUACGCGUAAUGAAAGUGAACGCAGGUGAGAGCUUCGGCGCAUCAUCGACCGAUCCUGAUGUUCUCGGAUGGAUUUGAGUAAGAGCAUACGGGGCCGGACCCGAAAGAAGGUGAACUAUGCCUGUAUAGGGUGAAGCCAGAGGAAACUCUGGUGGAGGCUCGCAGCGGUUCUGACGUGCAAAUCGAUCGUCAAAUAUGGGCAUGGGGGCGAAAGACUAAUCGAACCUUCUAGUAGCUGGUUUCCGC
rnacentral:rRNA from 1 species